GGAGAAGGCAGGAAAAUGGGGUUUGGAGGGAGAGAGAGAUCAGCCAUGAUUGAAUGGCGGAGCAGACUUGAUGGGCCGAAUGGCCUAAUUCUGCUCCUAUCGCUUGUGAAACCAUCCCGUGUCUGAGAUGUCAGUGUGUUCGUCACC